rnacentral:rRNA from 1 species
GAUGAACGCUGGCGGCGUGCCUAAUACAUGCAAGUCGAGCGAACGGACGAGAAGCUUGCUUCUCUGAUGUUAGCGGCGGACGGGUGAGUAACACGUGGAUAACCUACCUAUAAGACUGGGAUAACUUCGGGAAACCGGAGCUAAUACCGGAUGAUAUUUUGAACCGCAUGGUUCAAAAGUGAAAGACGGUCUUGCUGUCACUUAUAGAUGGAUCCGCGCUGCAUUAGCUAGUUGGUAAGGUAACGGCUUACCAAGGCAACGAUGCAUAGCCGACCUGAGAGGGGGGUCGGCCACACGGGAACUGAGACACGGUCCAGACUCCUACGGGAGGCAGCAGUAGGGAAUCUUACGCAAUGGGCGAAAGCCUGACGGAGCAACGCCGCGUGAGUGAUGAAGGUCUUCGGAGCGUAAAACUCUGUUAUUAGGGAAGAACAUAUGUGUAAGUAACUGUGCACAUCUUGACGGUACCUAAUCAGAAAGCCACGGCUAACUACGUG